UCUAACCACAAAAUUCGUUUCAUCCAUCAGACGCUCCACCUUUCUCUACAAACCCUAACCCUAACCUUCAUUUCCUCCACCGCUCCUCCACCGCUCCUCCAUCGAACCGGUCGUCGCCAUCACCGUCUUCUCCCCUUCUCCACUCCAACAAUCGCUUCAUGGCUUCUUUCCUGGUGGCUUCUAGAUCCGACACUAUCUCAGCAGAUUCGACACCAGAUCCGACACCAGAUCCGACACCACAUCGAUUUCUAUGGCUUCUUUCCCGGUGGCUUCAAGAUCCGACACUAUCUCAGUAGAUCCGACACCAGAUCUACUGGUUUGACUGUAGGAUCUUCCUUUUGGUUGUGGGUUCGUCAACGAUGGUGCUUGUGGGUGGAAGAUCUGGCAAGAUCUAUGGUUUAUUUGUAGUAGAUCUGUUCUUUGGUUUCAAACAGUGCGACUUUAUGGCGUCUGCAGAUGCUGAGCUGGAGCGAUUGCUUAAGGAGACAGGGAAACAGUUAUCGCUUCCUCAUGAUUAUGUUGAUGAACUUCUUCAAGUUCUUGAUCUUGUUGACAUAUUGGAUGAAGGGAUUAUUUCACCAGAUCUUGGAACCC